AUUGAACGCUGGCGGCAUGCUUUACACAUGCAAGUCGAACGGUAACAGGCCGCAAGGUGCUGACGAGUGGCGAACGGGUGAGUAAUGCAUCGGAACGUGCCCAGUCGUGGGGGAUAACGCAGCGAAAGCUGCGCUAAUACCGCAUACGAUCUAUGGAUGAAAGCGGGGGACCGUAAGGCCUCGCGCGAUUGGAGCGGCCGAUGUCAGAUUAGGUAGUUGGUGGGGUAAAGGCUCACCAAGCCAACGAUCUGUAGCUGGUCUGAGAGGAUGACCAGCCACACUGGGAGUGAGACACGGCCCAGACUCCUACGGGAGGCAGCAGUGGGGAAUUUUGGACAAUGGGCGCAAGCCUGAUCCAGCAAUGCCGCGUGCAGGAAGAAGGCCUUCGGGUUGUAAACUGCUUUUGUACGGAACGAAACGGUCCUGGUUAAUACCCGGGGCUAAUGACGGUACCGUAAGAAUAAGCACCGGCUAACUACGUGCCAGCCGCCGCCGUAAGAC
rnacentral:rRNA from 1 species